rnacentral:lncRNA from 1 species
UAAAUAAAGAAAGGAAACAAAGAAAAGAAGCAGAGUGCUCAAACGAAAAUGGGGGAAAGAAAGGGGAAAGAAAGAAAAAGGGAGAAAUUGAAGUUUUGAAGCUUUAAACUUUAAUAGGUAAGUCAAUUUAGCUUUUUUUAUUUAAUUUUGAUGUUUUAGAAGCCUUGGAAUAAGGUUUUGGUGAAAUUAAGUUGAUAUUUUGAAAGAUAUUAGAUUUCCAGAUAUGGUUCAUGUUAAAUAAAUUAAAGAAUUAAGGGUUAAAUUGAUAGAAUUUCAAGUCAGAAGUGAAAUAAGGAUUGAAUUGUAAGGUAAAUCAUAAGUUUUGAAUAGUAGGGACUAAAUUGAAAGAAUUUCGAAAUUAUGGUUUUAUGGUGAAAUUAGAGAGUUGAAGUUAGUUUAAAGUGGAAAUUGAAUGAAAGUAUUGAAUUAAAUGUGAAGAAUAAAAGUUAGUUUCGGUUUAGUGACUAAAUUGGAAUUUAGACAAAAGUUGAAUAAAAAUUGAAAUAUUCAAUGUGAAAUUGAAUGGUAGUGUAUUGAUAAUUUUUAUUUGAUUUCCGUAGCUAACAUUGUGCCGGAAAAUCUCGUCUAAGCAAGGAAAAAGGCAAAGUCGACGGGGGUUAGCUCGAAAAUUACGAUUUGUAUUUCUAUAAUCCGAACUUAAUUAUUGAUUGUUAUAUUUUUAUUUAAAGUAUAUGGCAAAUGUUAAGGUAAGAAUUAUUGUGUUUUAUGAUUGAAAUGGAUUAAUUGGUAUAUGUUAAAUUUAUUAAAUUUAUAUGGAUAAAUGUGAUUGAUGUGGAAUUGAAUAUGAAUGUAGGUUAUAUUGAAAAAUAUAUAUAUUGAUUUAGGAAAUGAUGAAAUUGAUCUAAAAAUAUAUGAUUAUUGUGAAAUUUGAACAUUUGUUAAUAUAAAGUGAAUUGAAAUAUAUUGAAUUGAGAAUAUAUUUGAUUAAUUGAAAUAUAUACUGAUUGAAAACUGAAAGUUUAUUAAAUACCCUAUUAACUAGUCGGGCUAGUCGGAUAUAGUUGGCAUGCCAUAGGAUAUGGAAAAGUACGGGUUUUUGCCGGCUUACUGAUCACGCACUUAUGUGCCGACUACUGUUACUGUUACUGUUACCGAUUCGACACAUUGUGUGUCGAAUACUGUUACCGUUACUAUUACUACUAUCGUUUCUGAUUACUGUUUAGGUACUGUGUACCAUUAAGGCACAAUGUGCCGUACUCGUGUCUUUGGUUGGAUCCGUAUAUCCGCCAAAGUCCGAAUUAUGUUAAUAGGGUAAAUAAAUGUAUUGAAUAACUGAUUAUUAUUGAAUAAUUGACUGUUACUAAAUAAACGACUAUUACUGAAUAAAUGAUUAUUACUAAAUAACUGAUUAAUACUGAUGACUGACUAAUACUGAACAAUAAAGAUCAAUUGAUUGUUACUAAAGAAUAUUGACUGUUAUUGAAAUGGAAUAGUACAUAAUAUUGAAUGAAAGAUGAAUAAUAUUAUUAUUCAAAUGAAUUGUAAAUAUAUGUUGGAAACUAAUUAUCAAAGAAUAAUUGAUUAUUACUGAAUAAUAAUGAUAAACUGAUUGAUAUUGAAAAUUAUUGACUAAUAUAGAAGUUGGAUUAAAACAGAUUACUGAAUGCAAAAUGAAUAGUUGAUUACUACUUAAUGAUAUUGAACAAUUAUACCAUUGUGUUUAUUAUAUGAUUUUAAGAGUUUGUAAUAUUUUUUUUUAUUAUUAAGUGUUCGAAUUAUAGAAAUACCACUGAGUUCAUACUCAGCGUACGGUUUGUUUCCGUGCGCAGGGUAAGUUAAAGCCAGACCGUUGAAUCAGCAUCUCAGGCCGAUCCCGAAUUCAAUGAGGUAAAGCAUGUUAAUUAUUGGUAAUGGCAUGUACCUAGGAUGUCUUAUGUAUGUCACUUUGAAUUGUGAAUGCAAUAGUGAAAUAAGUAAAUUUAGAGUUGGUAAUGGUAUAGGGUAGGAAAUAGUCUAUUUGGUAUGAAUUUGGGUUAUUUGAUAACAUAUGUGAAAUACUUAAAAGACUCAUCAUAUAGUCAUAUAACAUGCCU